rnacentral:rRNA from 1 species
AUUGAGCGCUGGCGGCAUGCCUUACACAUGCAAGUCGAACGGCAGCGGGGGAGAAGCUUGCUUUUCCUGCCGGCGAGUGGCGAACGGGUGAGUAAUACAUCGGAACGUGCCCUGUAGUGGGGGAUAACUAGUCGAAAGAUUAGCUAAUACCGCAUACGACCUGAGGGUGAAAGUGGGGGACCGCAAGGCCUCAUGCUAUAGGAGCGGCCGAUGUCUGAUUAGCUAGUUGGUAGGGUAAAGGCCUACCAAGGCGACGAUCAGUAGCUGGUCUGAGAGGACAGUCAGCCACACUGGGACUGAGACACGGCCCAGACUCCUACGGGAGGCAGCAGUGGGGAAUUUUGGACAAUGGGCGAAAGCCUGAUCAAGCAAUGCCGCGUGCAGGAAGAAGGCCUUCGGGUUGUAAACUGCUUUUGUACGGAGCGAAAAGGCUCUCUCUAAUACAGGGGGCUCAUGACGGUACCGUAAGAAUAAGCACCGGCUAACUACGUGCCAGCCGCCGCCGUAA